GACGAGGCGUGGGCCUCGUUCAUGGGACCCGGGGUGCCGCCGGCGGCCCGGAUGCGGGGGCCGGUGUUCACCCCGGCGCGCAGGUUCGCCGGUCUCGCCG
rnacentral:tRNA from 1 species